AGUGAACGCUGGCGGUAGGCCUAACACAUGCAAGUCGAACGGCAGCACAGUAAGAGCUUGCUCUUACGGGUGGCGAGUGGCGGACGGGUGAGGAAUACAUCGGAAUCUACUUUUUCGUGGGGGAUAACGUAGGGAAACUUACGCUAAUACCGCAUACGACCUACGGGUGAAAGCAGGGGAUCUUCGGACCUUGCGCGAUUGAAUGAGCCGAUGUCGGAUUAGCUAGUUGGCGGGGUAAAGGCCCACCAAGGCGACGAUCCGUAGCUGGUCUGAGAGGGUGGUCAGCCACACUGGAACUGAGACACGGUCCAGACUCCUACGGGAGGCAGCAGUGGGGAAUAUUGGACAAUGGGCGCAAGCCUGAUCCAGCCAUACCGCGUGGGUGAAGAAGGCCUUCGGGUUGUAAAGCCCUUUUGUUGGGAAAGAAAAGCAGCAGGUUAAUACCCCGCUGUUCUGACGGUACCCAAAGAAUAAGCACCGGCUAACUUCGUG
rnacentral:rRNA from 1 species